rfam:Xiphophorus maculatus strain JP 163 A Contig8.113, whole genome shotgun sequence.
GGUGUCACGUCAGUGGUUUUACCCUAUGGUAGGUGACAUCAUGCUGUUCUACCACAGGGUAGAACCACGGACGGGAUGU